CCCUGGUAUAGCAGUCAAUUUACAACAGAGAUAGUUUUGUUUACACCGGCAAAAUUGGUUAAAAAUAAUGACAAUGUCGGUCAAUGAAGGAAUUCCCGUAAAUACCUUCCGUAAUUAUUUAAAUAUACUUAACGACUCAUCUGCAAAAGAAGAAAUUAAGCUGAAAGCAACACAAGAGCUUAGUGAACACUUUGAAAUCAUAAUGCAAAGUCCUGCCUAUCCAUCAUUCCUAGAAUCCUCGCUUAAAAUAUUUUUGCGUAUAUUGCAAGAAGGCGAUCCUCAAUUUAUUCAAGAAAAUACUAUGCAGCAUAUUCGCAAGCUUAUUUUGGAGAUGAUUCAUAGAUUGCCAAUAACAGAAAGCUUAAGACAACAUGUCAAAUCAAUUAUAACCAUGAUGCUUAAAUUAUUAAAAACGGAUAAUGAAGAAAAUGUUCUAGUGAGUCUUCGCAUCAUUAUUGAACUGCAUAAACACUUUCGUCCAUCAUUUAAUCCAGAGAUUCAAAUAUUUUUGCGAUUUGUUAAAGAAAUAUAUACAAAUUUGCCGAAUCAUCUAUCAUCCAUAUUUGAAACCUCUUGCGAAAUUUGGAUAAAUGACCUGAAAGACUUAAAUUUGGAAACGCUUUUAUCUGAAGCUUAUUCAGUAAAAACUAUUCAUGUUGAAAAACCCCUGGAUUCUAAUUCUCAACAAAUUGUCAUUUUACCUUUUUAUCGCUCCCAGAUCUCUUUACAAGUGGAAAGAAAAUUACUUUUGAAAUACCUAAGAAAAUAGUUUCCUACGAAAAUGUUUUCAUACAAAAUUUUACAAUUAAUUUCACAUUUUACAAUUAAUUCUAGUAUCUAAGGUACCUGUUUAGUUACAGAGAUACAAUUUAUU
rnacentral:misc_RNA from 1 species